AUUGAACGCUGGCGGCAUGCCUUACACAUGCAAGUCGAACGGUAACAGGUCUUCGGAUGCUGACGAGUGGCGAACGGGUGAGUAAUACAUCGGAACGUGCCCGAUCGUGGGGGAUAACGCAGCGAAAGCUGUGCUAAUACCGCAUACGAUCUAUGGAUGAAAGCGGGGGACCGUAAGGCCUCGCGCGAUUGGAGCGGCCGGUGUCAGAUUAGGUAGUUGGUGGGGUAAAGGCCCACCAAGCCACCGAUAUGUAGCUGGUCUGAGAGGACGGCCAGCCACAGUAGAACUGGGACACCGUCCAGACUACUACGGGAGGCAGCAGUGGGGAAUUUUGGACAAUGGGCGCAAGCCUGAUCCAGCAAUGCCGCGUGUAGGAAGAAGGCCUUCGGGUUGUAAACUGCUUUUGUACGGAACGAAACGGCGAGCUCUAAUACAGUUUGCUAAUGACGGUACCGUAAGAAUAAGCACCGGCUAACUACGUGCCAGCCGCCGCGGUAAUAC
rnacentral:rRNA from 1 species